rnacentral:rRNA from 1 species
UACGUAGGGGUGCAAGCGUUGUCCGGAAUUAUUGGGCGUAAAGAGCUUGUAGGCGGUUUGUCGCGUCUGCUGUGAAAUUUCGGGGCUCAACCCCCGAACUUGCAGUGGGUACGGGCAGACUAGAGUGUGGUAGGGGAGACUGGAAUUCCUGGUGUAGCGGUGAAAUGCGCAGAUAUCAGGAGGAACACCGGUGGCGAAGGCGGGUCUCUGGGCCGUAACUGACGCUGAGGAGCGAAAGCGUGGGAGCGAACAGG